AGUUGAACUUGGUAUCACGACAAAUAAAUAGGAGAGGAUCCAGGUCCUUCAGUGUCUUCUGUGGGAGGAACAUACCCCACAUGGCAUCUUCUGUGGCUAAGUAACAGGCUCCAGCAAGGAGCAGAGCUUGGCUUCUCUCAAAGAAGAUGCUGGAUGAGGCCCCUCUCAAUCUAGGAAUCUUCCACUUCAAGGCUCAGAAAGAGGAAGGGAAAUUCUGAAUUCCGUGCCCAGAAAGGUCAAGAGCAGCAAAUGAGAAGAAAGAAAAUGAGCUCCAAGCUGAAGGCUCCCUCCAAGAAUGCCCUGGCUGAGGCAGGAAAUGAAUAGCACCAUCACAGCAGGCUGCAGCCCCUUAAGGGGCUGAGCAGAAGUCUAAAAGGGGUGCCUUGCAGACAUGUUAUGAGGACCUCUGCCUCCAGAAACAAACUUGAAAAAGCACUCAGCUGGCUCUGCUACAGCAUACAGGAACAGAGGCA